rnacentral:lncRNA from 1 species
GUGUGUUUGUUUCAAAGCUCUGUGUGUGUGUUUGUUUGAAAGCUCUCUGUGUGUGUGUGUGUGUGUUUGAAAGCUCUGGGUGUGUGUUUGAAGCUCUGUGUGUUUGUUUGAAAGCUCUGUGUGUGUGUUUGUUUGAAAGCUCUGUGUGUGUGUUUGAAAGCUCUGUGUGUGUGUGUGUUUGAAAGCUAUGUGUGUGUGUUUGAAAGCUCUGUGUGUGUGUUUGAAAGCUCUGUGUGUGUGUUUGAAAGCUCUCUCUGUGUGUUUGUUUGAAAGCUAUGUGUGUGUGUUUGAAAGCUCUGGGUGUGUGUUUGAAGCUAUGUGUGUGUGUUUGAAAGCUCUGGGUGUGUGUUUGAAAGCUAUGUGUGUGUGUUUGAAAGCUCUCUAUGUGUGUGUGUUUGAAGCU